UUGAACGCUGGCGGCAUGCCUAACACAUGCAAGUCGAACGGCAGCACAAGCAAGUAGCAAUACUGUGGGUGGCGAGUGGCGGACGGGUGAGUAAUGCAUCGGGAUCUACCCAAACGUGGGGGGAUAACGUAGGGAAACUUACGCUAAUACCGCAUACGUCCCUAAGGGAGGAAGGAAAGCGGGGGACCGAAAGGGCCCUCGCGCGGUUGGACGAACCGAUGUGCGAUUAGCUAGUUGGUAGGGUAAUGGCCCUACCAAGGCGACGAUCGCUAGCUGGUCUGAGAGGAUGAUCAGCCACACUGGAACUGAGACACGGUCCAGACUCCUACGGGAGGCAGCAGUGGGGGAAUAUUGGACAAUGGGCGCAAGCCUGAUCCAGCAAUGCCGCGUGUGUGAAGAAGGCCUUCGGGUUGGUAAAGCACUUUUUAUCAGGUGCGAAAUACUACUGGCUAAUAACCGGUGGGGCUGACGGUACCUGAGGAAUAAGCACCGGCUAACUUCGUGCCAGCAGCCGCGGGGUAAUACGAAGGGUGCAAGCGUUUAAUCGGAAUUACUGGGCCGUAUAAAGCGUGCGUAGGCGGUGAGUUAAGUCUGUUGUGAAAUCCCCGGGCUCAACCUGGGAAUGGCAAUGGAUACUGGCUCGCUAGAGUAGUGUGAUAGAGGAUGGUGGAAUUCCCGGUUGUAGCGGUGAAAAUGCGUAGAGAUCGGGAGGAACAUCAGUGGCGAAGGCGGCCAUCUGGAUCAACACUGACGCUGAGGCACGAAAAGCGUGGGGGAGCAAACAGGAUUAGAUACCCUGGUAGUCCACGCCCCUAAAACGAUGCGAACUGGAUGUUGGUCUCAACUCGGAGAUCAGUGUCGAAGCUAACACGUUUAAGUUCGCCGCCUGGGGGGUACGGUCGCAAGACUGAAACUCAAAGGAAUUGACGGGGGCCCGCACAAGCGGUGGAGUAUGUGGUUUUAAUUCGAUGCAACGCGAAGAACCUUACCUGGCCUUGACAUGUCUGGAAUCCUGCAGAGAUGCGGGGAGUGCCUUCGGGAAUCAGAACACAGGUGCUGCAUGGCUGUCGUCAAGCUCGUGUCGUGAGAUGUUGGGUUAAGUCCCGCAACGAGCGCAACCCUUGUCCUUAGUUGCCAGCCACGUAAUGGUGGGAACUCUAAGGAGACUGCCGGGUGACAAGCCGGAGGAAGGUGGGGGAUGACGUUCAAGUCAUCAUGGCCCUUACGGCCAGGGCUACACACGUACUACAAUGGUCGGUACAGAGGGUUUGCAAUACCGCGAGGUGGAGCCAAUCCCAGAAAGCCGAUCCCAGUCCGGAUUGGAGUCUGCAACUCGACUCCAUGAAGUCGGAAUCGCUAGUAAUCGCAGAUCAGCUAUGCUGCGGUGAAUACGUUCCCGGGCCUUGUACACACCGCCCGUCACACCAUGGGAGUGAGUUGCUCCAGAAGCCGUUAGUCUAACCGCAAGGGGGACGACCGACCACGGAGUGGUUCAUGACUGGGGUG
rnacentral:rRNA from 1 species